AUACUUACCUGCCAGUGCAAAUAUCUUUAAGGUGGUUUUCCCAGGGCAAGGCUUAUUUAUUGCACUUCUGAAAUGGAUAUGCUAACCCCUGAGAUUUCCCAAAGCAUGGGAAACCAUAUGCAUAAUUUGUGGUAGUUUUGGACUACAUUCACAUUCUCCACUG
rnacentral:snRNA from 1 species